GACGAACGCUGGCGGCGUGCUUAACACAUGCAAGUCGAACGGAAAGGCCCUGCUUUUGUGGGGUGCUCGAGUGGCGAACGGGUGAGUAACACGUGAGUAACCUGCCCUUGACUUUGGGAUAACUUCAGGAAACUGGGGCUAAUACCGGAUAGGAGCUCCUGCUGCAUGGUGGGGGUUGGAAAGUUUCGGCGGUUGGGGAUGGACUCGCGGCUUAUCAGCUUGUUGGUGGGGUAGUGGCUUACCAAGGCUUUGACGGGUAGCCGGCCUGAGAGGGUGACCGGCCACAUUGGGACUAAGAUACGGCGCAGACUGCUACGGGAGGCAGCAGUGGAGAGUAUUGCACAGUGGGCGGAAGCGUGAGGCAACGACGCCGCGUGCGGAAUGACGGCCUUCGGGUUGUGAACCGCUUUCGCCUGUGACGAAGCGUGAGUGACGGUAAUGGGUAAAGAAGCACCGGCUAACUACGUG
rnacentral:rRNA from 1 species